UACGGGGGGGGCAAGCGUUGUUCGGAAUUACUGGGCGUAAAGGGCUCGUAGGCGGCCAACUAAGUCGGACGUGAAAUCCCUCAGCUUAACUGGGGAACUGCGUCCGAUACUGGAUGGCUUGGAUUUGGGAGAGGGAUGCGGAAUUCCUGGUGUAGCGGUGAAAUGCGUAGAUAUCAGGAGGAACACCGGUGGUGUAGACGGCUUUCUGGACCGUAACUGACGCUGAGACACGAAAGCGUGGGUAGCAAACAGG
rnacentral:rRNA from 1 species